CAGGUGUAGUUUAAUGGUAGAACUUCAGCCUUCCAAGCUGCUAACGAGGGUUCGAUUCCCUUCACCUG
rnacentral:tRNA from 1 species